AUAGACUUAUGUGAUUAUGAUCCAAAAGAAUUCGACUGCGAUAGUUUUUCGAUGUUUCUUGAUAAUGUACUUUUCGCUCAUGACUCCUUGAAAGUUCAUCGGUUCCGCAUUUGCUGUACUAAGAUGGUGGAUCCCCUUCUGUUUGAUUAUUGGACUAGCACUGCCAUUGGCUGUAAUGUUGUUGAACUCGAUCUUGGUAUUAUUCCCAUGGGUUCUGUGUACUCGUCACUUCCGCCCCAGUAUUUCGAGUUGCCAGGAAGCCUUUUCGUGAUGAAAAGUUUGGAGAAGUUGAAGCUGAGCCUGCAAUCGUUUAUUACCAUUACUCCUGAACCAAAUUGGUUCCCAAGUCUCAAGUUUCUCCAUGUUUCAGUCUCAUUUUCUGGUUCUCAUCUGAUGGAGAGCCUCUUUUCUUGCUGCCCUGUACUUGAAGAGUUGAUUUUUGAUGCGGACCCUGAAUAUGAUGAUGAUUCAGUUUCUAACGUUAACAUCUCUGCACCGAAGCUGAAAAGACUACAAAUAAGCUUGUUCCUGGAAACAUAUGAUCUAGAGGUAGUAGAAUAUGAGCACAAACUUUUUAUCAAUGCCAAUGCUCCAAAUCUUGAAAAGUUCACUUUCCACGGCAAUCUUUUGGCAAUCUAUUCCUCGAGCAAUGCCAAAUCCCUGAACGAAGCCAAGAUUGAUUGCGCGCAGACCUGCAUGCAGGUCAAGAGCUUGACUAUCACCUUGAUGCUGCUGAUAAUUUGCACAGGCUUUUCACAGGAAUUUUGAAUGUUACUUACCUGUCAGUUUCAGCUCCUAUUUUUGGGGAUCCCCACAUUGUACAUCAGUAUCAUCUCCCUACAUUUGUUAAUUUGAAGCACUUGAAGCUACUUCUUCAAGCUUGCUGCUCUUGGCAACCAUUGAUUAGUUUUCUGAAUGCAUCGCCAAAUCUGGAAUCUCUUGUCUUGAAAAGGGCAAGUGUACAUGGCUUUACACCCUUACCAACUGUAUUGAUAAAUGAGAAUUUUGAAAUAUUUUAAUUUAUCCCAUCUAUGUUAAUCUUUAGAGCUGCGAUUGCCUAUGUCGACACGAUCCGGAUGAAUUACAUCAUGAAUGGAAUCCACCAGAGAAUGUGCCUGUUUGUUUGGUGUCACACUUGAAGACUAUUUGUAUACGUGGGUACAGGGGGAGGCCAGAUCAUAUGAAAGUGGCAGAAUACUUGUUGAAGCACGGUGAGGUUUUGGAUAAGGUGACAGUUCAUCGGACUUCCAAAUGAAGAAGUUGCCAAGGUGUUCGAAGACAUGUCAAAUUGAAUUUCCAUGCCUCUCUGUCACAGCAUAGCCUUCUUAAUUAUCUGAGUUACAUUUCAGAGUUGUGAAAUGGAUCCUUUUUUUGUUUAGAUAAGACCAUGAAUUGAUUCAACUCUUGUGUAAUAACAACUCUUCUUAUCUUCUAUUAUUAGCUCUCCAACCUCGGAAGAAUCUUUUAGACUCCAUGUAUGGAUCUUAUCUCAAGAGACAUUUAUUUGC